CCUACGGGUGGCUGCAGUGGGGAAUAUUGGACAAUGGGCGAAAGCCUGAUCCAGCCAUGCCGCGUGUGUGAAGAAGGCCUUCGGGUUGUAAAGCACUUUCAGUGGGGAAGAAAGCCUUGGGGCUAAUACCCUCGAGGAAGGACAUCACCCACAGAAGAAGCACCGGCUAACUCCGUGCCAGCAGCCGCGGUAAUACGGAGGGUGCGAGCGUUAAUCGGAAUUACUGGGCGUAAAGCGCGCGUAGGCGGUCUUAUAAGCCGGUUGUGAAAGCCCCGGGCUCAACCUGGGAACGGCAUCCGGAACUGUCAGGCUAGAGUGCAGGAGAGGAAGGUAGAAUUCCCGGUGUAGCGGUGAAAUGCGUAGAGAUCGGGAGGAAUACCAGUGGCGAAGGCGGCCUUCUGGACUGACACUGACGCUGAGGUGCGAAAGCGUGGGUAGCAAACAGGAUUAGAUACCCUUGUAGUC
rnacentral:rRNA from 1 species